rnacentral:rRNA from 1 species
AUUUAUAAUCUGGCACCUUCGGUGUCCGAGUUGUAAUCUCUAGAAAUGUUUUCCGCGCUGGACCGCACACAAGUCUGUUGGAAUACAGCGGCAUAGUGGUGAGACCCCCGUAUAUGGUGCGGACGCCCAGCGCUUUGUGAUACAUUUUCGAAGAGUCGAGUUGUUUGGGAAUGCAGCUCAAAUUGGGUGGUAAAUUCCAUCUAAAGCUAAAUAUUGGCGAGAGACCGAUAGCGAACAAGUACCGUGAGGGAAAGAUGAAAAGCACUUUGGAAAGAGAGUUAACAGUACGUGAAAUUGUUGGAAGGGAAACGCUUGAAGUCAGACUUGCUUGCCGAGCAAUCGGUUUGCAGGCCAGCAUCAGUUUUCCGGGAUGGAUAAUGGUAGAGAGAAGGUAGCAGUUUCGGCUGUGUUAUAGCUCUCUGCUGGAUACAUCUUGGGGGACUGAGGAACGCAGUGUGCCUUUGGCGGGGGUUUCGACCUCUUCACACUUAGGAUGCUGGUGGAAUGGCUUUAAACGACCCGUCUUGAAACACGGACCAAGGAGUCUAACAUGCUUGCGAGUAUUUGGGUGUCAAACCCGGAUGCGUAAUGAAAGUGAAUGGAGGUGGGAACCGCAAGGUGCACCAUCGACCGAUCUGGAUUUUUAAUGAUGGAUUUGAGUAAGAGCACGUAUGUUGGGACCCGAAAGAUGGUGAACUAUGCCUGAAUAGGGCGAAGCCAGAGGAAACUCUGGUGGAGGCUCGUAGCGGUUCUGACGUGCAAAUCGAUCGUCAAAUUUGG